rnacentral:rRNA from 1 species
GACGAACGCUGGCGGCGUGCUUAACACAUGCAAGUCGUACGGUAAGGCCCUUUCGGGGGUACACGAGUGGCGAACGGGUGAGUAACACGUGCGUAACCUGCCCACAACUUUGGGAUAACGCUAGGAAACUGGUGCUAAUACUGGAUAUGUGCUACUGCUGCAUGGUGGGGGUUGGAAAGCUCCGGCGGUUGUGGCUGGACUCGCGGCCUAUCGGCUUGUUGGUGGGGUAGUGGCCUACCAAGGCGGCGACGGGUAGCCGGACUGAGAGGGUGACCGGCCACAUUGAGACUGAGAUACGGCCCAGACUCCGACGGGAGGCAGCAGGGGGGAAUAUUGCACAAUGGGCGCAAGCCUGAUGCAGCAGCGCCGCGGGCGGGAUGACGGCCUUCGGGUUGUAAACCGCUUUCAGCAGGGACGAAGCUUUUUGUGACGGUACCUGCAGAAGAAGCACCGGCUAACUACGUG